rnacentral:rRNA from 1 species
AUUGAACGCUGGCGGCAGGCCUAACACAUGCAAGUCGAACGAGUGGCGGACGUGUGAGUAAUGUCUGGGAAACUGCCCGAUGGAGGGGGAUAACUACUGGAAACGGUAGCUAAUACCGCAUACCAUCGGAUGUGCCCAGAUGGGAUUAGCUAUUAGGUGGGGUAACGGCUCACCUAGUCGACGAUCCCUAGCUGGUCUGAGCGGAUGACCAUCCACACUGGACGUGAGACACGGUCCAGACUCCUACGGGAGGCAGCAGUGUGGCAUAUUGCACAAUGGGCGAAAGCCUGAUGCAGACAUGGCGCGUGUAUGACGAAGGCUUUCGGGUUGUAAAGUACUUUAAGCGGGGAGGCGUUACCCGCAGAAGAAGCACCGGCUAACUCCGUGACAGCAGCCGCGGUAAUUC